AGAAUCAACGCUGGCGGCGUGCCUAACACAUGCAAGUCGAACGAGAAAGUGGAGCAAUCCAUGAGUAAAGUGGCGACCGGGUGAGUAACACGUGACUAACCUACCUUCGAGUGGGGGAUAACAUCGGGAAACCGAUGCUAAUACCGCAUAAUAUCGCAAGAUCAAAGCAGCAAUGCGCUGGAAGAGGGGGUCGCGGCUGAUUAGCUAGUUGGCGGGUAACGGCCCACCAAGGCGAAGAUCGGUA
rnacentral:rRNA from 1 species